rnacentral:misc_RNA from 1 species
CCCAAAAAAUAAUUCAUUAACCCCAAAUCAGUCAUUUCAAACUCACCAAUCAUUAGCUUCUGAAACUCACUAAGCAAGGCAAUACUAUUUUUGGUGUAAAUCAAAUCAUCAACAUAAAGGCAUAUAAUAAGUACCUCAUCGACUCCCUUUGUUUUGACAUAGAGAGUAGGCUCACUUGCACUCUUUUGAAAGCCAUGCUUAUUAAAAUGUCCAUCAAUUCUCUCGUACCAGGCCCUUGGAGCUUGUUUGAGACCAUAGAGCGCUUUAUUCAAUCGAUGAACCUUGUUUUCUUGACCUGCAAUUUCAUAUCCCUGUGGUUGCUGCACAUACACUUCCUCAUCCAAAAAACCAUUGAGAAAUGCAGAUUUUACAUCAAAUUGAUGAACAUUCCAAUUAUUAUGAGCAGCUACAGCCAAAACAAUCCAAAUAGUGUCAAAUCGAACAACUGGUGCAAAGGUUUCUUGAUAAUCAAUACCUUCUCUUUGCAUGUACCCAUGUGCUACAAGGCGGGCUUUGUACUUUUCCACUUUACCAUCAGGUCUGUAUUUGACUUUAUAUACCCAUUUUGAGGCUAUUGCCUUCUUGCCUUGAGGGAGGGUAGUGAGGACCCAUGUUUUGUUCUUUUCUAGAGCCUCCAAUUUAGUUUUCAUGGCUAGAUUCCAGUUACUGUCCUCCUUAGCUUGAUGGUAAGAUUGUGGUUCACAAAUAGUAGACACAUUUGCCAUGAAUUGAAUGUAGUCAUGAUUAUAUAAUGGUGGAGAAACAGAAAAUGAAGUGUGAAAGAAAGGAUAGGUACCUGCAGGUUCUUUGGAAGUACUAGCAAAUGAACUUGCAGUAGGAUUGUCUUUACUAACUUAUGCCACAAAAUCAUUUAACCAUUGAGGUCUUGAUGAUGCCCUUGUGCUUCUUCUAAUAGGUACAAGGUUGAUUGGCGAUUGUGUAUAACUUGUACAGGGUGUGGAAAUAGGAUUGGUGUUUGUGACAGAUGGUGUGUUGCUGAUGGGUAAAUCAUGUGAAUGAACUAGAUCAGAAGGUAAAUCAUGAUUUUGUUCUGUGUCAGGAAUAGCCAAAGGAAUGACACUACUAUCCACUUGUGUAGUGUGUCCACUUGAGUAUGGAAAACAAUUUUCAUAAAAUACCACAUCCCUAUAAAUUAUAUCUUUCUGAUUAUGCAAGUCAUAUAACUUGUAGGCUUUAAAACCUGAUGCAUAACCUAUAAAAUGCAUUUGAAAGCCCUUUGUUUAAACUUAUGUUUAUGUGGACUUGUAUUAGUAACAUAACAUAAGCUAUCGAAAACUUUGAGAUAACUGUAAUCUGGCAUUUUGUUAAACAAAAUUUCAUAGGGUGUCUUUCAAUUUAAAACUGUGCUGGGCAUCCUAUUAAUGAGAUAUGUUGCUAUUAAAAUGCUUUCUCCCCAAAAAUAUUUUGGCACUUUUGAUGUAAACAUUAAAGCUCUUGCCACUUGCAACAAAUGUUUAUGUUUCCUCUCUACAACCCCAUUUUGUUAUGGAGAGUAUGGACAAGUUUUCUGAUGCAAAAUUCCCUUGGAUUUGAAAAGUGUUAAAAAAUGUUGGUUGGUAAACUCUGUCCCAUUAUCUAAUCUUAGUGCUUUAACUUGUUUUUGAAAUUGAUUUUGAAUUAUGUUUAAAAACUCAAGUAGUGUUCUAUAAACUCUAGUUUUAUCAUGCAGCAAUAUGUCCAUGUGACUCUUGAAAAAUCAUCAACAAUAGUAAGAACAUACUUUGAAUGUGAAACUGAAUGUUCAUGAUAUGGUCCCCAUAAAUCAAUGUGAAUCAAAUCAAAAAUAGAGUUUGUAGUAAUUUUGCUUUUUUGGAAACUAAGUCUUUGUUGUUUGGCAAGUGGGCAUACAUCACAUAUUUCAUGACUUUUGUGCUUUGGUGUGAUGGUUGUGAUGUGAGGCAGUUUGGUGUUUGAUAUAUGCCCAAGUCUGUAAUGCCACAGUUCAUAAGAAUUAGAUGAGGCAAAUGUUUAAUGAACUUCAUUCAUUUGAA